rnacentral:rRNA from 2 species
UACAUAGGGUGCAAGCGUUGUCCGGAAUUAUUGGGCGUAAAGAGCUCGUAGGUCGUUAGUUACGUCGGGUGUGAAAAUCUGGGGCUCAACCCCAGACCUGCACUCGAUACGGGCUAGCUAGAGUUUGGUAGGGGAGACUGGAAUUCCUGGUGUAGCGGUGGAAUGCGCAGAUAUCAGGAGGAACACCAAUGGCGAAGGCAGGUCUCUGGGCCAAUACUGACACUGAGGAGCGAAAGCGCGGGGAGCGAACAGG